GACGAACGCUGGCGGCGUGCCUAAUACAUGCAAGUUGAGCGCUGAAGGUUGGUACUUGUACCGACUGGAUGAGCAGCGAACGGGUGAGUAACGCGUGGGGAAUCUGCCUUUGAGCGGGGGACAACAUUUGGAAACGAAUGCUAAUACCGCAUAAAAACUUUAAACACAAGUUUUAAGUUUGAAAGAUGCAAUUGCAUCACUCAAAGAUGAUCCCGCGUUGUAUUAGCUAGUUGGUGAGGUAAAGGCUCACCAAGGCGAUGAUACAUAGCCGACCUGAGAGGGUGAUCGGCCACAUUGGGACUGAGACACGGCCCAAACUCCUACGGGAGGCAGCAGUAGGGAAUCUUCGGCAAUGGACGAAAGUCUGACCGAGCAACGCCGCGUGAGGGAAGAAGGUUUUCGGAUCGUAAAACUCUGUUGGUAGAGAAGAACGUUGGUGAGAGUGGAAAGCUCAUCAAGUGACGGUAACUACCCAGAAAGGGACGGCUAACUACGUG
rnacentral:rRNA from 1 species